ACUAAGCGUACACGGUGGAUGCCCUGGCAGUCAGAGGCGAUGAAGGACGUGCUAAUCUGCGAUAAGCGUCGGUAAGGUGAUAUGAACCGUUAUAACCGGCGAUUUCCGAAUGGGGAAACCCAGUGUGAUUCGUCACACUAUCAUUAACUGAAUCCAUAGGUUAAUGAGGCGAACCGGGGGAACUGAAACAUCUAAGUACCCCGAGGAAAAGAAAUCAACCGAGAUUCCCCCAGUAGCGGCGAGCGAACGGGGAGCAGCCCAGAGCCUGAAUCAGUGUGUGUGUUAGUGGAAGCGUCUGGAAAGGCGCGCGAUACAGGGUGACAGCCCCGUACACAAAAAUGCACAUGCUGUGAGCUCGAUGAGUAGGGCGGGACACGUGGUAUCCUGUCUGAAUAUGGGGGGACCAUCCUCCAAGGCUAAAUACUCCUGACUGACCGAUAGUGAACCAGUACCGUGAGGGAAAGGCGAAAAGAACCCCGGCGAGGGGAGUGAAAAAGAACCUGAAACCGUGUACGUACAAGCAGUGGGAGCACGCUUAGGCGUGUGACUGCGUACCUUUUGUAUAAUGGGUCAGCGACUUAUAUUCUGUAGCAAGGUUAACCGAAUAGGGGAGCCGAAGGGAAACCGAGUCUUAACUGGGCGUUAAGUUGCAGGGUAUAGACCCGAAACCCGGUGAUCUAGCCAUGGGCAGGUUGAAGGUUGGGUAACACUAACUGGAGGACCGAACCGACUAAUGUUGAAAAAUUAGCGGAUGACUUGUGGCUGGGGGUGAAAGGCCAAUCAAACCGGGAGAUAGCUGGUUCUCCCCGAAAGCUAUUUAGGUAGCGCCUCGUGAAUUCAUCUCCGGGGGUAGAGCACUGUUUCGGCAAGGGGGUCAUCCCGACUUACCAACCCGAUGCAAACUACGAAUACCGGAGAAUGUUAUCACGGGAGACACACGGCGGGUGCUAACGUCCGUCGUGAAGAGGGAAACAACCCAGACCGCCAGCUAAGGUCCCAAAGUCAUGGUUAAGUGGGAAACGAUGUGGGAAGGCCCAGACAGCCAGGAUGUUGGCUUAGAAGCAGCCAUCAUUUAAAGAAAGCGUAAUAGCUCACUGGUCGAGUCGGCCUGCGCGGAAGAUGUAACGGGGCUAAACCAUGCACCGAAGCUGCGGCAGCGACGCUGAUGCGUUGUUGGGUAGGGGAGCGUUCUGUAAGCCUGCGAAGGUGUGCUGUGAGGCAUGCUGGAGGUAUCAGAAGUGCGAAUGCUGACAUAAGUAACGAUAAAGCGGGUGAAAAGCCCGCUCGCCGGAAGACCAAGGGUUCCUGUCCAACGUUAAUCGGGGCAGGGUGAGUCGACCCCUAAGGCGAGGCCGAAAGGCGUAGUCGAUGGGAAACAGGUUAAUAUUCCUGUACUUGGUGUUACUGCGAAGGGGGGACGGAGAAGGCUAUGUUGGCCGGGCGACGGUUGUCCCGGUUUAAGCGUGUAGGCUGGUUUUCCAGGCAAAUCCGGAAAAUCAAGGCUGAGGCGUGAUGACGAGGCACUACGGUGCUGAAGCAACAAAUGCCCUGCUUCCAGGAAAAGCCUCUAAGCAUCAGGUAACAUCAAAUCGUACCCCAAACCGACACAGGUGGUCAGGUAGAGAAUACCAAGGCGCUUGAGAGAACUCGGGUGAAGGAACUAGGCAAAAUGGUGCCGUAACUUCGGGAGAAGGCACGCUGAUAUGUAGGUGAAGUCCCUCGCGGAUGGAGCUGAAAUCAGUCGAAGAUACCAGCUGGCUGCAACUGUUUAUUAAAAACACAGCACUGUGCAAACACGAAAGUGGACGUAUACGGUGUGACGCCUGCCCGGUGCCGGAAGGUUAAUUGAUGGGGUUAGCGCAAGCGAAGCUCUUGAUCGAAGCCCCGGUAAACGGCGGCCGUAACUAUAACGGUCCUAAGGUAGCGAAAUUCCUUGUCGGGUAAGUUCCGACCUGCACGAAUGGCGUAAUGAUGGCCAGGCUGUCUCCACCCGAGACUCAGUGAAAUUGAACUCGCUGUGAAGAUGCAGUGUACCCGCGGCAAGACGGAAAGACCCCGUGAACCUUUACUAUAGCUUGACACUGAACAUUGAGCCUUGAUGUGUAGGAUAGGUGGGAGGCUUUGAAGUGUGGACGCCAGUCUGCAUGGAGCCGACCUUGAAAUACCACCCUUUAAUGUUUGAUGUUCUAACGUGGACCCGUAAUCCGGGUUGCGGACAGUGUCUGGUGGGUAGUUUGACUGGGGCGGUCUCCUCCUAAAGAGUAACGGAGGAGCACGAAGGUUGGCUAAUCCUGGUCGGACAUCAGGAGGUUAGUGCAAUGGCAUAAGCCAGCUUGACUGCGAGCGUGACGGCGCGAGCAGGUGCGAAAGCAGGUCAUAGUGAUCCGGUGGUUCUGAAUGGAAGGGCCAUCGCUCAACGGAUAAAAGGUACUCCGGGGAUAACAGGCUGAUACCGCCCAAGAGUUCAUAUCGACGGCGGUGUUUGGCACCUCGAUGUCGGCUCAUCACAUCCUGGGGCUGAAGUAGGUCCCAAGGGUAUGGCUGUUCGCCAUUUAAAGUGGUACGCGAGCUGGGUUUAGAACGUCGUGAGACAGUUCGGUCCCUAUCUGCCGUGGGCGCUGGAGAACUGAGGGGGGCUGCUCCUAGUACGAGAGGACCGGAGUGGACGCAUCACUGGUGUUCGGGUUGUCAUGCCAAUGGCACUGCCCGGUAGCUAAAUGCGGAAGAGAUAAGUGCUGAAAGCAUCUAAGCACGAAACUUGCCCCGAGAUGAGUUCUCCCUGACUCCUUGAGAGUCCUGAAGGAACGUUGAAGACGACGACGUUGAUAGGCCGGGUGUGUAAGCGCAGCGAUGCGUUGAGCUAACCGGUACUAAUGAACCGUGAGGCUUAACC
rnacentral:rRNA from 1 species